rnacentral:rRNA from 1 species
AUGGCAGUUGACCGCGCCGACAAGGAGAAUCUGCCGCCGGCGACCGCCGCCGUCGCCCGUCCUCAUGGCGUGGCUGUCAAGAGCUGCAAGCUGAAGCGGCUCGGGAGGGUGCGGAGGCGGGUGCCGUUGAGGGACAUCACCAACCUCUUCGGUGCAGAGUCCGCGGUCGCCGAGUGGCAGCAGGCCCUGCUCCAGCGGCCGCACGAGGCGUCGUCGGCGGCGCCGGCCGAGCUGGCCGUGAAGAACGGGCCUGCCGGCGGUGCGCUACUGAAGCCUGGCAGAUACUUGCUCCGGAAGGACUUUAGAUAG